GGCCCGCCAGAGGACCCCUAAACUCUGUUUCUAUAUGUAACUUUUGAGUAAAACCAUAAAUAAAUCAAAACUUUCAACAACGGAUCUUUUGGUUCUGGCAUCGAUGAAGAACGCAGCAAAAUGCGAUAAGUAAUGUGAAUUGCAGAAUUCAGUGAAUCAUCGAAUCUUUGAACGCACAUUGCGCCCGCCAGUAUUCUGGCGGGCAUGCCUGUUCGAGCGUCAUUUCAACCCUCAAGCACAGCUUGGUGUUGGGACUCGCGUUAAUUCGCGUUCCUCAAAUUGAUUGGCGGUCACGUCGAGCUUCCAUAGCGUAGUAGUAAAACCCUCGUUACUGGUAAUCGUCGCGGCCACGCCGUUAAACCCCAACUUCUGAAUGUUGACCU
rnacentral:rRNA from 1 species